rnacentral:rRNA from 1 species
UACGUAGGGUGCGAGCGUUAAUCGGAAUUACUGGGCGUAAAGCGUGCGCAGGCGGUUUUGUAAGCCAGAUGUGAAAUCCCCGGGCUUAACCUGGGAAUGGCAUUUGGGACUGCAAGGCUGGAGUGCGGCAGAGGAGACUGGAAUUCCUGGUGUAGCAGUGAAAUGCGCAGAUAUCAGGAAGAACACCCGUGGCUAAGGCGGCUCUCUAGUACGUGACUGACGCUGAGACGCGAAAGCGUGGGGAGCGAACAGG